UGUGUUACAAAUAAAAACCAUCUCAGUUAAUAGUUAACAACAAUAGUUUUAGUUCCUGUAUAUUAACUCAGUUGUCUCCUCUGUUGGUCAGAGUCGCUGAUGUCUCUGUCACUGUCAAAACGUCUUUAAACAGAGACGUACAGUGGCAUACGUCAUUUCCAUUUAAAGCUUGUUUCAGUGUCUCCUGUCUUAUUCUGAUCCUGUCUCCACACAUAUGCUUCACUUUGAUAGAGACAGAUUUAUAAAGGUCAUAUGUCUGUUCUCUGGUAAUGAACCAGUUGAUCUUGUACAUAUUUCUAACGACAUGUUGUAAGCUUGUCCACUUGAAGUCCCGCCCACGUUGACACCAUAACAAAGGAAGGAAGGAAGGAAGGAAGGAAGGAAGGAAGGAAAAAAUGACGAAAGGAAGGACCUGAGACAACUGGAGCAGUUUGCGCAGGAGGAGUGGGCCAAAAUACCUACUGAGAGGUGCAAAAGUCUCAUUGACAGUUACAGAAAUCGUUUGAUUGCAGUGAUUGCCUCAAAAGGUUGUGCAACAAAAUAUUAAGUUUAUGGGGUACUAUCAUUUUUGUCCAGGCCUGUUUCAUGAGUUUAUUUUUUUAAAUAAUUCUGUUGAAGCAUGGUUGAAAAGCAAUGUCUGACUUUCAUUGGUUAAAUUUCAUAGAAUUUUUAUUUAUUAUUACUUUUUACAGAUUGAAGUUAUUUCUGUGACCAUUGUGAGUUUUUCUUUCAUUAAACGAAGGGUACCAACAAUUUUGUCCACGUGUGUAAGCUUGGCUGGUAACGGUGUGCUGAAGAGCAUCAGCGUCCGCGUGGUCCAUUGUGGCUAGAUCUUUCUGUGACGACAGGUGGUAAAUUGGACCAAAGAGGCGGACGCUGAGUUCACAAGUGGUGAUGUGUUUAUUCAGGGAGACACAAAAAAGGGGGGAGAGGACGACAGUGGGGUAAGGGUCCGGGAGAGGAGCGGGUCCGGGUUGGCAGCUGCUGAGCAGGGGUAGGUGAUCUGUAGCACAGGGAGCUCAGGGUC